rnacentral:rRNA from 1 species
AUACGGAGGGUGCAAACGUUAAUCGGAAUUACUGGGCGUAAAGCGCGCGUAGGUGGUUUAGUAAGUCGGAUGUGAAAGCCCUGGGCUCAACCUGGGAAUUGCAUUCGAUACUGCAGAACUAGAGUAUGGUAGAGGGAAGUGGAAUUUCCGGUGUAGCGGUGAAAUGCGUAGAUAUCGGAAGGAACACCAGUGGCGAAGGCGACUUCCUGGGCCAAUACUGACGCUGAGGUGCGAAAGCGUGGGGAGCAAACAGGAUUAGAUACCCGGGUAGUCC